ACUCAGCCUGUCAGCCAGCGUUGGAGGCCUUUGCACAGUGCUCCAUAUGCUGAGAAGGCUCUCUAGACAGAACACAGGGCAGGGCUGUGGGACAGGGCUGAAAGCACGGAAUACGUGAACAUCCUAAACCUACAUCCUCACUGUUGCCUCCAUUAUCCCGGGACUGCAUACACAGUUGAACCCAGCUAGAUAGGAGGACCAUGUGCAGGAGUCUCUGGAAAAGCAGAGUGCACGAGGCUGACAGUUUCCAGUGGCCCCAUAGCAGGCUCCACGUGCAGGACCAUUGUGAUGUGUGUUUCGGGGUCCGGUUGUGAUUCUGAGUCCUCUGCUUCCUCCCUUUCGGGGUGUCCAGAUGCCUUUGCACACCGGGCUGGAAGGGUGAAGCCGAGACCAGAAUAGGUGGAGUUCUGCAGGAUCCUGGUCUAGCUGGGCGUGGGUACUAGGAAUGAGAAAGUGGGAAGAAGCAGGCCGUCCCCCAUUAGCUUAGCUCUUUUAGGUGAAGGCCUUCUCUCAUGACCACCAAUGAAACAGCUCUCUGAGACAAUC